rnacentral:rRNA from 1 species
GGUGGUUAUGGCGGAGGGGAAACACCCGGUCCCAUUCCGAACCCGGUAGUUAAGCUCUCCAGCGCCGAUGGUACUGCAUGGGAGACUGUGUGGGAGAGUAGGACGCCGCC